CCGACAUGCUGACGACGGACAGUCAAUGGUAUAUACCAUAAUAUGUCCUGAAAAUUGGCGUAAAAAAAAAAGGCUCAACUAAAUCAAAUUUUUGAAACGUGAUUGAUUUUAUUCCUCUAAUAUCUAUGAGAUCAAAUUUAUAAAACAUCUAUUAAUAUAAUUAAUUUCAAUGUACUAGUAUACAUGUAAGAAUUGUUGCCAUUUAUACAUCAUGUACAUGUACAAUCAUUAGCUGAUCAGCUCUAUAUUUUCUUUAUUUUUAUUCUCCUUCACUGUUUUUUUUUAUAAGAGUAGACUCAUAUAUAUGAUCUGUAUUCAUCAUUGGGACAGGUAGCUAUAUAUAUAGGUGAAGUAGGUCCUUUUGAUUUGAUUUUUUUAAAGGAUUUUGACAGCACUAAAGCAUAUACAUGUAGUUCCAAUUUAUAGUUGAUCUUAGCUCCUUAAGUGGAUUGUGGCAACACAUAUUGCAUAUAUACAUGUAGAAUGUUGUUCUUAAGUUUCAGCACUUUACGCAUAGUUUCCGGUUGCAAGACUAGAAUAUGAUACUGGCUUCUCAUGAAAUUCUGUCAGUACUUUGCCAAUAGUUUCCAAGUAAAGUUGAACAUUCCAAGCUCACUCCUUCCAUUUGCAAUGUACAUGUACAAAUGUACUUGCAGCC
rnacentral:lncRNA from 1 species